CUCUGGAAACAGCUCAACACUUUCAACCAUUCCGCCAGUAGCCUUCUCUCGCAGUCAGUUGUUGAAUCUCACGCAUCAACUUUUGUAUCAACCAUGUCUUUCGAACUCGCCUUUCGUUCUCGUGUUGCGUCCAUUAUGGAAACUUUUGACAGCAACAGCCUUGCAAGACAUCUGUCAAUUUAUGGGAGAAACGUAUGCUGCUCUUCGAGUGGAAAUGUUGCAUGAACAAAACCAAAGUUCGAGGACAGAAUUGCAGACGAUGGAGAAGCCAGCGAACAGGAUGGAGAGCGUUCAAAAGACGCCCCCUCACCAGGUUUCAGAAGCUUCCCAGUUGUGGAGCAAAUCCUCAAUGAACAAGAGGCCAAUGGUCUUUGGCUAGAAGGUGACCCUACUGUGGAACACGAAGGUCCACAGUCACUGGUACCAGAGGAAGAACAGCUAUCACAGGCUUUUGGUCAGAUGACUGAAAAGGGAGUGGAGACAUGGUCAGCACCACUGGUCAUUAAACAGGAGGAAACGGAUGAUGAUGACAUGGAGUCUCAAGGU